rnacentral:rRNA from 1 species
CCCUUAGACGUUCUGGGCCGCACGCGCGCUACACUGACGGAGCCAGCGAGUAUAAACCUUGGCCGAGAGGUCUGGGGAAUCUUGUGAAACUCCGUCGUGCUGGGGAUAGAGCAUUGUAAUUAUUGCUCUUCAACGAGGAAUUCCUAGUAAGCGCAAGUCAUCAGCUUGCGUUGAUUACGUCCCUGCCCUUUGUACACACCGCCCGUCGCUACUACCGAUUGAAUGGCUUAGUGAGGCUUCCGGAUUGGUUUAGAGAAGGGGGCAACUCCAUCUUGGAACCGAGAAGCUAGUCAAACUUGGUCAUUUAGAGGAAGUAAAAGUCGUAACA